UACAGAGGCCUCAAGCGUUAGGCGGAAUCACUGGGCUUAAAGCGUGUGUAGGCGGAUGUCUAAGUGCUUUGUGAAAUCCCAUGGCUCAACCAUGGAACUGCUUGGCAUACUGGACGUCUUGAGCCAUCCAGGGGUCGCUGGAACAAACGGUGGAGCGGUGAAAUGCGUAGAUAUCGUUUGGAACGCCAAAGGUGAAGACAGGCGACUGGGGAUGUGCUGACGCUGAGACACGAAAGCCAGGGGAGCAAACGGG
rnacentral:rRNA from 1 species